rnacentral:misc_RNA from 1 species
CAUGACAAGGAGCAUGGAACUCUUUUAGCUGUUGGUACUGCCAAGGGACUCCAGUUUUGGCCCAAAAGAAGUUUAGUUGCUGGGUUCAUUCACAUCUAUAAGUUUGUGGAUGAUGGCAAAGCCCUAGAACUUUUGCACAAGACACAAGUAGAAGGUGCACCACUUGCUUUAUGCCAGUUUCAGGGAAGACUACUUGCUGGGAUAGGACCUUUGCUCAGACUGUACGACUUGGGGAAGAAGAGGUUGCUUAGGAAAAUGUGAGAAUAAGCUGUUCCCUAACACUAUUGUCACUAUUCACACCUAUCGUGAUAGGAUCUAUGUGGGUGAUAUUCAAGAGUCAUUCCACUUCUGCAAGUAUAGGCGGGAUGAAAAUCA